UACGGAGGGGGCUAGCGUUGUUCGGAAUUACUGGGCGUAAAGCGCACGUAGGCGGUUUUGUAAGUUAGAGGUGAAAGCCUGGGGCUCAACUCCAGAAUUGCCUUUAAGACUGCAUCACUCGAACACGGGAGAGGUGAGUGGAAUUCCGAGUGUAGAGGUGAAAUUCGUAGAUAUUCGGAAGAACACCAGUGGCGAAGGCGGCUCACUGGACCGUUGUUGACGCUGAGGUGCGAAAGCGUGGGGAGCAAACAGG
rnacentral:rRNA from 1 species